AUGCCCUCCAGGUGGGCGCUGAUCCAGGAGGCUGAGGAGUCGAGGCGGACGACGCCGCAGGAGGCAGCGCCAUCCAAGCAGCAGGAUGCGCCGAGGGCGAGGCCACCAGUCCGGCAGCAGAGACAGGGACGAGGCAGGAACCAGAGACAAAGACAGACGUGGAGACGCGGCCGGAGCCGGGCCGCCAGGAACCGAUGCAGGUGCGGCCGGAGCCGGGCCGCCAGGAACCGAUGCAGGUGCGGCCGGAGCCGGGCCGCCAGGAACCGAUGCAGGUGCGGCCGGAGCCGGGCCGCCAGGAACCGAUGCGGGUGCGGCCGGAGCCGAGCCGCCAGGAACCGAUGCAGGUGCGGCCGGAGGUCCGCCGAGACUGCGGCUGGCGCGACCCCCUCCUGGAGGUCCGCCGGGACUGCGGCUGGCGCGACCCCCUCCUGGAGGUCCGCCGGGACUGCGGCUGGCGCGACCCCCUCCUGGAGGUCCGCCGGGACUGCGGCUGGCGCGACCCCCUCCUGGAGGUCCGCCGGGACUGCAGCUGGCGCGACCUCCUCCUGGAGGUCCGCCGGGACUGCGGCUGGCGCGACCUCCUCCUGGAGGUCCGCCGGGACUGCCACUCCGAGACUGACUGGAACGGCCGCAACAUGGCCGACAGGAACAGGGGCUGGAACGGCCGCAACAUGGCCGACAGGGACUGGAACGACCUCUACUUGGCCGACAGGAACAGGAACUGGAACGGCCUCAACAUGGCCAACAGGAACUGGAACGGCCUCAACAAGGCCGACAGGGACUGGAACGACCUCAACUUGGCCGACAGGAACAGGAACGGCCUCAACUUGGCCGACAGGAACAGGAACUGGAACGACCUCAACUUGGCCGACAGGAACUGGAACGACCCCUACUUGGUCGACAGGAACCGGAACAGGGACAGGAACGGCCUCAACAUGGCCGACAGGGACUGGAACAGGAACUGGAACGGCCUCAACAUGGCCGACAGGGACUGGAACGACCUCUACUUGGCCGACAGGAACAGGAACUGGAACGGCCUCAACAUGGCCAACAGGAACUGGAACGGCCUCAACAUGGCCGACAGGGACUGGAACGACCUCAACUUGGCCGACAGGAACAGGAACGGCCUCAACUUGGCCGACAGGAACAGGAACUGGAACGACCUCAACUUGGCCGACAGGAACUGGAACGACCCCUACUUGGUCGACAGGAACCGGAACAGGGACAGGAACGGCGUCCUCACUUGAACCGGCGGCGCUGCUCUCAGGCUCCUCACAGGAGCCGGCGGCGCUGCUAUCAGGCUCCUCACAGGAGCCGGCAGGGACUGAAACGGCGUCUCCGAGCUGGCACGGCUGCUUGCCACUGCCGAGCUCGACGGAGCAGACGUCGGGCCUGAUCGGGUGUGCAUAG
rnacentral:lncRNA from 1 species